UUGUGAUGACUUCUCAAGAUACUCAAAAGAGCUUGUAAUAACCAUGGAUAAUUUUAAGCUGCAUUACAAUAAUCUUAUAUUCACUGCCCUUCCUUUAUGAUCCCCACCCCAGCCCUACCAAAUUGGGAAGGCGGUUGCCAAGUGGUUCAACCAUCGCUGAGGGAUGGAAUAUUAUCAACAGAUCUUCCAUGAACACUAACUUCAGCGACUUUGUGCAAGAGUCGUCAAAACUACCCUUCGAGAAAGCCUACUAUGCUAUAGGCAGCACCUACAAAAAAAUAAAAUAAAAAUACAAGUUUAUUAAUUAAAUAUUUUGGUUUUCAGACUUCAGUUCGUUAAAGGAAGUUUAAUGUACAGAAGUUAAUUAGUCCACUCGUGAUUUUCAAUGCAAACUUAAAAAGCCAAUUUUAGUAACUAUUAUCUUACCGAUCACUUGUAUUAACCUCUUUUGUAUGUGUUUCAGGGAACAUCAAGCUGCGAGCAGUGCCUCUGCAGGAGCUGUGUCUGGGCAGCGCCAUCCAGGGCAGUUAUGUGACCAACAAGCCGUGGACGGUGCCUCUGCGGGAGCUGUGUCUGGGCAGUUAUGCAACCAACGAGAAGAAAGCUGUCCUGCCCCCGGUGCAGAGUGCAGCAUCGUGAUGGUCACAUCAACUUCCGAUGAUCAUCAGCGUUAUAACAAUGAAAAGAAACAACUAGAACUUGCACUUCUAAGAGCAAAUGUUG